CUCCAGUGUUGAAAUCCUGGUGUUAAGGACUUUUAGAGUAAAGUGUUAAUUUUCUGGUGUUGAAUUUCAAGGGAUUAACACUGCUAGUGUAAACCACACUCUCUGGCUGGUGAAAAUAUGUGGAGUUAUACACCAGAGAUGCUUUGAGAACACCGAGAGUGUUACUAGUCACAUCCGGGACAUUUACGCGCUGGGCGGGACGAAACGAGUUGAAACUUUCUUCACAGGCGCCAUUUUCUUUGACUCGAGUCGCAAGACAUGCGAGGAGGAAACACGCAUUUAUUAUGCGUUAAAUCGCAUUUAUAUAUUCAUUUUAUAACACCAUAUUGUUUUAUAACAAUAUGUAUGUGCUGUGGACGAGCAAACCGCUCUCAGAAGGGGUAUUUUCUAUGACGCGCGAUGCGGAGCAGACCAGGAUGGGUUUGCUUUUUAACAGGGAAACAACGAAAACGACAUCAUCUUUGAAACACGGAGCUGACGAGGAGGAGGCUUGUAGCUAACGUUAACAGGGAAACACCUAAAUCUAGGUCCUGCAUCUUCUUUGACUCGUGACCUGCUCGUGACGCAUUUCAAAAAGCAGUGCAGAGUGCAGACACGGAGUUUGCUUUUAACAAUAAAAACACCGAUUAACAGACCUAACGUUAACGUAUAAAACAGAAGAACAACUCCACAAACUGCGGACCAACAAUGCACGUGGAAUUUGCACUUUAUUUCCUUAUUUGGAGGACCAAUCUUUUUAGAAUGGGAGCAUUUCUAUGAUGCACUAUGAUUUCUAUGAAGUGACUAAGGGUACCAGGCUUGGUGUUUAAAGACUGUACAGACUAGAACCUGGUGAUGGAAAGAGAACAGAUAAACUCAACUGAUUGGAAAAUCUCUGCCCAUCACCUGCCCCCAACAUACAAAGCCACAAGACGGGAACACCGAUCCUUCCGGAAUCCGACGGCUGACAAUUUAGUGAGAUUUCUUAAGGUACCCAGUCCUACAGGAUUUUUCGAGAAAGUUGGAUCUACACAGCUUUUGCUGCUCUGUGAAACAACUAUGCACUGAACUUUACUGUUAGUGACUGGAGACACACAACUGAUCCACUCAUAUCCUGCUACUGUUCUUCAUCUGCUGAAUGUUUUUGACUCAAGCACUGCUGUACUGUUGCAAAGUCAAAGGUACUGAAUCAACUUCACUGACACAGGACUCACAUUCACUGAUAUGUUCAGGACACCAUUUGAUCACAAUAUAUAAUUCUGAUUACAGUGCAUUCAUCGUUUAUUUUAAAAGUUAACCUAUGAUGUAAACGUGUUUGUUCGGUAAUAAAAAAAAUAGUUUGCUUGAAACAACUGUUUACAUUUGCCUUUAUUUUCAACUUUACAAUGAACUGAAUUCUACUAUGAUCCCAUACUUUCUGGAUUGUUUUGAAAUAAAGUUUUGAAA